CACGUAGGGUGCAAGCGUUGUCCGGAUUCAUUGGGCGUAAAGGGCUAGUAGGCGGCUUAGCAAGUCGGGUGUGAAAUUUCCAGGCUUAACCUGGAACCGCCACUCCGAUACUGCUAUGGCUAGAGUCCGGUAGGGGACCACGGAAUACCUGGUGUAGCGGUGAAAUGCGCAGAUAUCAGGUGGAACACCGAUGGCGAAGGCAGUGGUCUGGGCCGGCACUGACGCUGAAUAGCGAAAGCCAGGGGAGCAAACGGG
rnacentral:rRNA from 1 species